rnacentral:rRNA from 1 species
ACGGGUGAGUAACGCGUGGAUAACCUACCUCAUACAGGGGGAUAACAGUUAGAAAUGACUGCUAAUACCGCAUAAGCGCACAGUACCACAUGGUACAGUGUGAAAAACUCCGGUGGUAUGAGAUGGAUCCGCGUCUGAUUAGCUGGUUGGCGGGGUAACGGCCCACCAAGGCAACGAUCAGUAGCCGGCCUGAGAGGGUGACCGGCCACAUUGGGACUGAGACACGGCCCAAACUCCUACGGGAGGCAGCAGUGGGGAAUAUUGCACAAUGGGCGAAAGCCUGAUGCAGCGACGCCGCGUGAGCGAAGAAGUAUUUCGGUAUGUAAAGCUCUAUCAGCAGGGAAGAAAAUGACGGUACCUGACUAAGAAGCCCCGGCUAACUACGUGCCAGCAGCCGCGGUAAUACGUAGGGGGCAAGCGUUAUCCGGAUUUACUGGGUGUAAAGGGAGCGUAGACGGCAUAGUAAGUUUGAAGUGAAAACCUGUGGCUCAACCAUAGGACUGCUUUGAAAGCUACUAAGCUAGAGUGUCGGAGAGGUAAGUGGAAUUCCUAGUGUAGCGGUGAAA